CGGCUAACGCCGCGGAAUCCGCGGAGGAUCUCCCGCACUUGUCGCGCGGCUUGACCGAACUCAUCCUCGCCCCUGGGUAUAAAUCCGUGGCCGCGGCAUCCCCUGGGCCAUUGGCGAGCUGCAUCACCGAACAGAGGGUUAGAGAAAGGAAGCGAGAUCCACCGCGAACGAAUCACGGGUACGCCAUCGAUAGAGACUCGACAGCGAGUCUGGGAGCUUCGUCGGUUACCCUGGGACGCGUUCGAUGCGGCACCGGGGUCGAUGGCCAACCUGGUGGCGGGGAAUUUCUCGCCGUCGCGCAGCGACGCCAUGAAUCCGUCGUGCGCCGUGGCCAAGCUUCAUCCGUACCUCAAUGCCGGUAAGAAUACAUCCAUUGUGAUCGCGAUGCCGCGCACACCGUGUAGCUCCGUUCAAUUUGACUGUGGUGCUCGGGGGAGGCCAAUUGGUGCCACAGUCGCGUUCUCCACCGUGUGGCCAUGGCGCCGCCUCUGCGCAGUUCCUUGGGGGUUGAAGAAGAGUGCGGGCCGUUAGAUCCAAAUGGGCGGUGCAGAUUAAAACCUAUGUACUGCUAUGGGCCAACCCGAUCCGGACCAUGGAUUUAUUGAUGUGUGGCUCGGGUUGUUUUCCCUUCAUGCUCACAAUCCGAUUCGUCCAGAUCUAAUCCAACGGCUGAGACUUAAAGAUACCCCUUCGCGAUGACAGUUUUAUUAAAGAGCCCCUGUAGUAUUCUCAAAUCAACCCGCCAUCCCUCGAUCGUAAGAAUAUUUCACAGAUAAGUCCCUGGAAUUAGCAGAAGAGCCCCUGGAAGUAUUAUUUAGGUAUAAAUUUAAUAGUAAAAUACCUAUAACCUUGUUUAAUCCAUAUCUCAUCCGUUUUAACUUCAAAUUGAUCCAUUCCAGUUGCAUUAAUUUUGUUUUAACACUGUUUAUCACCUAGUACCUUUGUUUAGCCAUGAAACUUAAUUUAAAAUCAUUCGCUUGAAUGACUCUAUUGUAGGUACUAAAUAACUCCAGAAAUUCAUACCUUGGUAACCGUAGCUCCGAAUGUAGUAAUUCUUGUUCCUACGAUCUCGUUGCGCAGCGUAGAAUAUUCUUAUAUAGUUUAUUCUUAUGUUUGGUGUGAUGUUAAUUUUGCCUAUACCAUGUAUGUUUGUAUUGCUACGACUAGCGCGAGGUCACGUGUCAUCUGAAGAGCAAGUUGGUACCUGGAAUCUCAAGUCCCAGGCAAGUUGUGCCCUUGAUCACUUCUUUUACCCACUCAUGUUCUAAUUAAUCAUAAUGAUCUGCAUAGGUUAAUUUUGAUGGGACCUAAUAGGUUAAUCUAGUUUGUCUAUCUUUAUGCCUUGUUUACCACUGAACUUUUUGGGUAGUACUUGCUAGUGCUAUAUGUGGUUUUGGGCAUUGAGAUACACAUUAUUCAUGAUUAUACUUUUGUUAUCCGUUGUUAUUUACUGUUCAUGUCAAGUUCAUUAAUGUUAAUUGGAACAUAGAGCUUAACUUGAGAAACACGUGCCACCACAAGGGUUUAUGGACGCCCUUGGCUGAUUAAUUAGGAGAGCUAGUGGAGGACUACCUUACCCGAAAGGGGCAAGGGUAGUAGGGGAGUGGUCAGUGUAGGGAGGUCCUUGGUUGAUUUUGCUGCGAUGGCGGUCAGGCAAGAACCCUGCAUUGGAGCUUCCUAUAAACUGUAGCGGGUUUUCUGAAGCUAGUGGAACUUUGUAAAGGCCUCGUAGUGUUACCCUGCCUCGCCUCCUCGGUAGAGGUGUAUGGGAAGUCGCGAUCCCUUGGCAGAUGGGUAACAUGACUUGUGGGUAAAGGGUACCACCUCUGCAGAGUGUAAAACUGGUAUACUAGCCGAGCUCACGGUCAUGAGCAGCUCAGGACUCUCUGAUGAUUAAAUUAUGAAACUUAAAUUCAAUUUGUCAUAUGCAUUGCAUCGCAGGUGAUGUUGUUACUUUUGUUCUACUACUUAAUUGGGUUGGUAUUUACUUAUACUUAGUAAUUGCUAAUAAAAUUUUGACCAACUUUAAAAGCAAUGCUCAGCUCUAACCAUCCUCUUUGGUAAGCCUUACACUUCACAUGAGCUCCCACCUUUGGCGAGUUCAUGCACAUUAUUCCCCACAACUUGUUGAGCAAUGAACGCAUGUGAGCUCACUCUUGCUGUCUCACACUCCCCACAGGUCAAGAAUAGGUACCGCAGGAUGAGGCGCAUGGAGGAUGUUGUGAUGAGUUCGUGAGAGAUCUAGGCCGUCGUCUCCCAGUCAACUUUGGGUUGCUGGACCGCUGUCUCCUUAUAAUGUAAUUAUUUAUUUAUUUUGUAUAGAACUCCUAUUAUGUAGUAAAGAUGUGACAUUCGAUCCUGUGCCAUGAUUCAUCAUAUGUGUGAGACUUGGUCCCAGCACACCUGGUGAUUAUGUUCGUGCCCGGGUCUUGGUGCCCCUCAAACCCGGGUGUGACAGAAGUGGUAUCAGAGGAAUGUUGACUGUAGGACGAAACCUAGAUAGAACUGGACAACCAAUACUUACUUACCUUUGCUACUCUGAUUCUUUUCUAAACUUAUCUUAAUCUUUUCUCAUCUAUUUCCGCUUUACUCUGAUUAUUCUUACCUUUUUCUUCUGAAGACAAAUGUGGAUUUCACACUUUGAAAUCAUGUGCCUAAAGUGACUUUAGGAAUAGGAGACCUUCUCUUAGGAACAAAAAUAAAACUAUUUUUAUAGGUAUCUAUACGCUUGAGUGUUUGUUCUUAUGAUACUUGUUUGAUUUGGAUCUUUAAUUGAGUGUCAUUAGUUGUGGAGUAAUGACCAAAAUUACUUCUACAUAUACGCAUAGAUAUAAAUAAAUAAAACUCAUGAGAUAACUAAACAACUUAGAUUAUCCUCCAUUAAAGUGUAUCUAUUUCAUAUAGAUCCCUCUCACCUUAAAAGACCCUCUCUUAACUUUAAUGGAUCCCUCUUAACUUAAAGGAAUCUAUCUCAUCCUAAUAGGAUCAUCUUGUGUAAAAAAUAUCUUAUCCUCCUAAACUGUUUAUAAGAUAAACUAGACCAACUAGAAUAUAUCAAAUGGAUCUAUCUUAUCUCGAAGGAUUCUCUCUCAUCUUAAAAGAUACUUUCUUAAUAGAUUCAUAUUAUCUUGAAAGGUUCCCUCUUAACUUAAAAUAGAUCCAUCCUACCUUAAAAGAUACUCUCCUAUCUUACUAGAUCCAUUUUACCUUAACAAAUUCCAUCUUAUCUUACAAGAUUCUCUCUCGUCUUAAUAGAUUCAUCUUAUCUUAAAAGAUUCUUUCUUAUCUUAAUAAGAUCCAUCUUAUCUCGAAAAGAUUCUAUCCUAUCCUAAUAGAUCUGACCAAUCUCAGAAGAUUCUAUCUUACUCUUGGAGACUCAUCUUGUCCUAAUCAGCAUACUUACCCCCACCAAUUUGCUUAUCUCAUAAAAGUGUAACAAGCAUGAUGUAUUCUAAAAUAAAUUAAGUAGAUCUUAUCUAGUCUAUGUCACCCAUAUCCAUCUUAACCAUACUCCGGUAACUUUGAUGAUAUACACUGACCUCGAAUCAAUGAGCUCAAGACCGGAGAAGAAAGGAUCAACCUCGUCAAGAAAGGAGAGAGGUCAAACCCAACCUUCAGAUGCAUUACCACUUAACACGGAAUUCUUUCCCAUCAUAAACUUGCUUACCCUAGGCUAUUCUUGCCCUAACCUAUCUUGUAUCCUACACAAUAAGGUGACUAUACAUAUAUAUACCCAUGCUUUCACAACUACUUUCUAAAUAACAUGAAACUUCUUAUUUAUAAACUAACUAGAAGUUAAAGGCUAAACUAUAAAUAAAAGCUUUUUACAUCCCUGUCCUUACAAAUCUCGAGGACGAGAUUUCCGUUAAGGGGAGUAGGAUUUGUAAUACCCAACUUAUAAUUUGUGAAGGAUAACCUAAAAGGAGAAAUGACAUUCCUUUGUAUAUAUGUGUGUUGUCCAUAUUUAUCAUUUCAUGAGAACAUCACAUGAAAACAAAAAAAUAUAAAAUAUCUGCCACUAAAUUAUGCAUCAUGCUGGACUUUAUUUGGUGUGCAUUUUGUGACAAUAUAAAAGGAAUAACAUGGAAAAAUAAUAAUGAGAAGAGAAUUGGAUUUAAUCCCAAAAGUGCAAAUUGGGGAAAAUUGGAAAUAAUAAAUACUAUACAAAACAAAAUAAAAGCUAUACAUAAAUAAAUAACUACGAUACUAGUAUGUUUAUUUUGUACAUUAAUUUGGGUACAAGUUCACAACACUAUUUGAAUUCAAAUUUGAGAUUUAAAUUUAAAAGAGAAGAGGAAGAAAAUGAAAUAAAGAAAAAAAGGCUUCACUUGGCGUAGUGGACCAACUUCUUCUCCCCGGCCCAUUCCCCUUACUCUUGCAGCCCAGUUCUCUACCAGUGUGCGCGCUUGCGCCAAACCCUAGCCGCCAUGUGGGCCCACGUACCGCCCCGUCAGCCUCACAUCGCGCGCGCUGCGGAAACAACCUCUUACGCGUGGGCCGCCUGGGUCAGUGACCGCUGCGCCUCUGCCACUUGGGCCCUGCGAACAGACUCUCCUCCCAGCUCCCGAUCGUGGCGGACUCCAACGAAUCCGUCGAUCUCUGCGCGCGGCAAGAUCCGAUCCCGGCCGUGUUUCUCGCCGCCCGUGCUGGCCUAACUUGCCCUCUCUGCUCUUACCGCUGAUGGUGUCUCACCUGCCUAGACCGAGCCUCUCGCCUGGGAGCUCGCCAGGGUCGUUGAGUUCGGCCGGAGUCUUCGCCGCGGUGUCCGCGACUACUGGGCGCCCGUGAAUAAGAGGGAAGGAAUCGCCGCUGCCCUGAGCCACUCGCCGCGCGCCUUGCGGAUUCGGGGGUGGGGUCCACCGAACAAAUUCAUCCCCUCCCUGCGUUCCGUUGCGCACGGCUAACGCUGCGGAAUCCGCGGAGGAUCUCCCGCACUUGUCGCGCAGCUUGACCGAACUCGUCCUCGCCCCUGGGUAUAAAUCCGUGGCCGCGGCAUCCCCUGGGCCAUUGGCGAGCUGCAUCACCGAACAGAGGGUUAGAGAAAGGAAGCGAGAUCCACCGCGAACGAAUCACAGGUAUGCCAUCGAUAGAGACUCGACAGCGGGUCUGGGAGCUUCGUCGGUUACCCUGGGACGCGUUCGAUGCGGCACCGGGGUCGAUGGCCAACCUGGUGGUGGGGAAUUUCUCGCCGUCGCGCAGCGACGCCAUGAAUCCGCUGUGCGCCGUGGCCAAGCUUCAUCCGUACCUCAAUGCCGGUAAGAAUACAUCCAUUGUGAUCGCGAUGCCGCGCACACCGUGUAGCUCCGUUCAAUUUGACUGUGGUGCUCGGGGGAGG
rnacentral:lncRNA from 1 species